GGAAGGAGGGGCCUCACCCCGCGCUCACCCCCAUCCAUCAGCCCGACAGCCCGCGCUCGUGGGGCCUCUCACCCUUUUCAUCUCCCUGUUUGUGUGCGGCCGCCCGCUGCAGCCCCGCACAAUGCGGCCCCGCAGCUUCCCCACCCCGACCGCAGCCCGCGGCUGCAUCCUGCAUCCCAUAUCCUGCAUCCCAUGUCCUGCAUCCCAUGUCCUGCAUCCCACGUCCUGCAUCCCAUAUCCUACAUCCCACGUCCUGCAUCCCAUAUCCUGCAUCCCAUGUCCUGCAUCCCACGACCUGCAUCCCAUGACCUGCAUCCCACAUCCUGCAUCCCAUAUCCUGCAUCCCAUAUCCUGCAUCCCACGUCCUGCAUCCCACGUCCUGCAUCCCAUGACCUGCAUCCCACAUCCUGCAUCCCACAUCCUGCAUCCCAUAUCGUGCAUCCCACGUCCUGCAUCCCACGUCCUGCAUCCCAUAUCCUGCAUCCCACGUCCUGCAUCCCAUGUCCUGCAUCCCACAUCCUGCAUCCCAUGUCCUGCAUCCCAUAUCCUGCAUCCCAUGUCCUGCAUCCCACGUCCUGCAUCCCACGUCCUGCAUCCCAUAUCGUGCAUCCCAUAUCCUGCAUCCCACAUCCUGCAUCCCAUGUCCUGCAUCCCAUGUCCUGCAUCCCAUAUCCUGCAUCCCAUAUCCUGCAUCCUGCAUCCCAUGUCCUGCAUCCCACGUCCUGUAUCCCACAUCCUGCAUCCCACAUCCUGCAUCCCACAUCCUGCAUCCCAUGUUCUAUCCCAUGUCCUGCAUCCCAUAUCCUGUAUCCUGCAUCCCACAUCCUGCAUUCCACAUCCUGCACCCCAGAUCCCGCAUCCCACAUCCUGCACCCUACAUCCUGCAUCCCAUAUCCUGUAUCCCACGUCCUGUAUCCUGCAUCCCACAUCCCGCAUCCCACAUCCCGCAUCCCACAUUCUGCAUCCCAUAACCUGCAUCUUGCAUCCCAUACCCUGCAUCCCAUAUCCUGCAUCCCAUGUCCUGCAUCCCACAUCCCGCAUCCCACAUUCUUCAUCCUGCAUCCCACAUCCUGCAUCCUACAUCCUGCAUUCUGCAUCCCACAUCCUGAAUCCCGCAUCCCAUAUCCUGCAUCCGAUAACCUGCAUCCUUCAUCCUAUACCCUGCAUCCCAUGUCCUAUAUCCUGCACCCCAGAUCCUGCAUCCCAUAUCCUGCAUCUUGCACCCUUCAUCCCAGAUCCUGCAUCCUGCAUCCCAUAUACUGCAUCCUACAUCCUGCAUUCCAUAUCCUGCAUCCUCCAUCCUUCAUCCUGCAUCCCACAUCCCAUAUCCUGCAUCUUGUAUCCUUCAUCCUAGAUCCUGCAUCCCAGAUCCU
rnacentral:lncRNA from 1 species